GAUGAACGCUAGCGGCAGGCCUAACACAUGCAAGUCGAGGGGUAGAGUUAGCUUGCUAACUUGAGACCGGCGCACGGGUGCGUAACGCGUAUGCAAUCUACCUUAUACAGAGGGAUAGCCCAGAGAAAUUUGGAUUAAUACCUCAUAGUAUUAUCGAGUGGCAUCAUUUGAUAAUUAAAGUUCCAACGGUAUAAGAUGAGCAUGCGUCCCAUUAGUUAGUUGGUAAGGUAACGGCUUACCAAGACUAUGAUGGGUAGGGGUCCUGAGAGGGAGAUCCCCCCACACUGGUACUGAGACACGGACCAGACUCCUACGGGAGGCAGCAGUGAGGAAUAUUGGACAAUGGGCGCAAGCCUGAUCCAGCCAUGCCGCGUGCAGGAAGACGGUCCUAUGGAUUGUAAACUGCUUUUAUACAGGAAGAAACAUCUCUACGUGUAGAGACUUGACGGUACUGUAAGAAUAAGGAUCGGCUAACUCCGUGCCAG
rnacentral:rRNA from 1 species